rnacentral:rRNA from 1 species
GAUGAACGCUGGCGGCGUGCCUAAUACAUGCAAGUCGAGCGAACGGACGAGAAGCUUGCUUCGCUGAUGUUAGCGGCGGACGUGUGAGUAACACGUGGAUACCCUACCUAUAAGACUGGGAUAACUUCGGGAAACCGGAGCUAAUCCCGGAUAAUAUUUUGAACCGCAUGGUUCAAUAGUGAAAGACGGUCUUGCUGUCACUUAUAGAUGGAUCCGGGCUGCAUUAGCUAGUUGGUAAGGUAACGGCUUACCAAGGCAACGAUGCAUAGCCGACCUGUGAGGGUGAUAGGCCACACGGGAGCGGAGACGCGGACCAGACUCCUGCGGGAGGCAGCAGUAGGGAAUCUUCCGCAGUGGGCGGGAGCCUGACAGAGCAACGCCGAGUGAGUGGUGAAGGUCUUCGGAUCGUAAAACUCUGUUAUUAGGGGAAAACAGAUGUGUAAGUAGCUGUGCACAUCUUGACGGUACCUGGUCAGGAAGCCACGGCUAACUACGUG